GGGGCCGACCUGGUUUCGACCGGACAGGGAAGGCAAUACGACACAUCGUUCUCGACGCCUGAUACAGCGCGGUGUGCAAAACUCGGGCUGGUUCCAAAGUGCUUGCAAGCCGCGGAGGAAUGAGAAACUUAGUUUGCUGUGGUACGCGUCAGUUUGUCAGAUGUAGUGACGUAGUACCGAAAUUGAACAUCUGACUACUUGCGUAGACGUGUAUUGUUGACUGUAUCGGGACGGGAGUUCGAUUCUCCCCGGCUCCAUUC
rnacentral:tmRNA from 1 species